UCUGUAUUUAGCGCCAUCUUAUUAUGCUAAUCGUGCCUUAUGCAUAUUCAUCUAGGUCGUAUAAAGUUGACUGGGGGAAACUUGGCUGGUUUUUGUUGCAGUGUUUAUAAUAAUAAUAUAUUACUGUAAGUAGCAAAGUCAUGAAAUAACAGAUGUCAUUAAUAAAGAGAAUAUUUUGCUGAUAACAAUAACUUUAUUUUCAUACGGGGCGUGGUCAGUUUGCAAACACAACACCACUUGCUCGUGUCUUCUGCCUCAGCUCUGACUUUGACAACAGGCCGGGGUUUUUACACAAGAUCAACUAAUUAGUAGCAUAUUUCAGUGAAACGCUGCGGUUCAUUUUGGGCUUGAGGUACAUUGUUAGCGUUGAUAGUACUGGCUUGCAUUGAAUAACAAUGGAAACGCGAGUAGCAUGGACAAGAUGGACAACAAUCAACCGCCAAAUGUACAACCGGUACCAAGACAUGACGUGCAUAAUUAAUGACUGGAUACUCCUUGAUGUCCCACUUUAUACAUGCCCAUAAGGAUUAUGCUACAGAGGCAUACAGUAGCUAACUGCCACCAGCUGAGGACUGCCUGGUUAAACUUGCUGAAGAAAAGAUAGAAGAUGAGAAGCUGUUUCUCCAGUGUUGUGCUGGUGGAUGCACCAAUAUGCUGUUUAUAGAUCUGCUGUGGUGUGUUAACAUUGCUGUGUUGAAGCCAUUGACAUAAAGUUUAAGUUCUUGAGAGGUCAUUUAAAUCUGAGAUUUGAAAUAACUGAUUUGAACAUGUUCAAGUAUUUCUUUUUUCGUGUAUUUCUCUCACUCUGACCAACAGGUAGUAGUUCUAUGGCAGUUGUUUGUUUUCUGUGAGUGCUUUGUUAACUAAAAUUGUAUAAAACAGAUUGUCUACCCCUGAAAUCAUCCUUGUGUCUCUUUAACCCUUCAUGUGUUUUGUUAAGCUAUAGUGACUGCAAAGGCCAUAGCAUACUGUAUGAUUACAUCUUUAGUUUACCACAAUGUAAAAAUGGCUGGGUUAUUUUUUACCCAUAAUGGGGAAAUAUUGGACAGAACACAUUCUGGGUUAAAAAUUACCCCGUGCUGGGUUGAAAAUGACCCAAUGUUGGGUUGUUGUUAUGAAACCAUGGGGUAUAAUAACCCAGCAGUUGGGUUAAAAUUAACCCAGCAUUGCAUCAAUUUUAACCCAGCACGUGUUCUGUCCAAUAUUUACCCAUUAUGGGUAAAAAAUAACCCAGCCAUUUUUAGAGUGCAAGUAAUCUGGCAAGACUGAAAGUAGUAUUUCUGUAGAACAAUUUUUUUAAACUUUGAGCAAAAGUUUUUAUCCAAAAUGUCGUGCAGUCACAAGAAAAAUGUGGUUCAAUAAUCUGAUACUGCAGAAUUAUACUACUGUAAAGGUGAGUAAUCAAGUAAUUGUGUACACUUAGGAUAAACUUUACUUCUGUGUUUCUGUCAGCUUUAUAUAGUGCAGCUGUCACACUGACAUCGUGAGAUCAACAUAUGUACAAUUCUAUGUUAAAAUUGUAACUGUGGUCGCUUGAUUCUAAAUUAUAAUAAAACAAAAAUUUUGCCUUGAGAGGAAAUUUGAACCUCACUCUCCCGUUUCGUAGGUCAGUAACAGUACCAC